rnacentral:misc_RNA from 1 species
CACCAAUAGCAAAAAAGAAUAAUGUUACCAUAGCCAAAUCCUCCCUGCAGUUUCACUAUCCUCACCUGCACAUUUGAGAGGAAGUAAAGAAAACAGUACUUGCAAGCAGAUAAUGAUAAUGGCUUCUCUUCCUAUUGCCUUUGCUCUUCCUACUGUUAGAGUGUAUGCAGCCACGGCAGCUAAGGGAGCAGGUGGCAGUAAAGAGGAAAAGGGUUUUCUUGAUUGGGUUCUUGGAAAUUUGCAGAAGGAAGACCAAUUCUAUGAGACUGAUCCUAUCCUCAAGAAAGUAGAGGAGAAGACUGGUGGUGGCACCAACGCCGGCGGCAAGAACUCCGUGUCAAUCCCACAGAAGAAGAAGGGUAAUGGGGAAGGCUUCGGUGGGCUGUUCGCCAAGAAAUGAAAUAUAGAGAUAUUGUUCUGUUAGCUUUCUGUCUGUCU